AACGAACGCUGGCGGCGCGCUUAACACAUGCAAGUCGAACGAGAAGGCGUAGCAAUACGCUUGUACAGUGGCGAACGGGUGAGUAAUACGUGGGCGACCUACCCUCGAGUGGGGAAUAACCCGCCGAAAGGCGGGCUAAUGCCGCGUACGCCUCCAUCUUUAUGAAGGUGGAAGGAAAGCCGUGCCGUGGGCACGGCGCUCAAGGAUGGGCUCACGUCCUAUCAGCUUGUUGGAGGGUAACGGCCUACCAAGGCUCCGACGGGUAGCUGGUCUGAGAGGACGAUCAGCCACACUGGCACUGCGACACGGGCCAGACUCCUACGGGAGGCAGCAGUGAGGAGUAUUGCGCAAUGGGCGAAAGCCUGACGCAGCGACGCCGCGUGGGGGAUGAAGGUCUUCGGAUUGUAAACCCCUUUCGGGAGGGAAGAUGGGACGGGCGAACCGUUCGGACGGUACCUCCAGAAGCAGCCACGGCUAACUUCGUGCCAGCCGCCGCCGU
rnacentral:rRNA from 1 species